rnacentral:misc_RNA from 1 species
GCAAACUUGGUCAUUUAGAGGAAGUAAAAGUCGUAACAAGGUUUCCGUAGGUGAACCUGCGGAAGGAUCAUUACAGUGGGUCUCGGCCCGCGAGAUAGCCAUCCUUGCCUUUUGAGUACUUGCUGUUUCCUCGGUGGGCCUGCCCACCAACGGGGACUACUAUAUCCACCUUUUGCAGUAGUAUGUAAAUGUCUGAUACUAAUCAAUUAUCACAACUUUCAACAAUGGAUCUCUUGGUUCUGGCAUCGAUGAAGAACGCAGC